rnacentral:rRNA from 1 species
UACGUAGGCAGCAAGCGUUGUUCGGAAUUACUGGGCGUAAAGAGUGUGUAGGCGGUGCUCCAAGUCUGGUGUGAAAUCUCCCGGCUUAACUGGGAGGGUGCAUUAGAAACUGGAAUGCUAGAGGAUGGGAGAGGUAAGCGGAAUUCCUGGUGUAGCGGUGAAAUGCGUAGAUAUCUGGAGGAACACCGGUGGCGAAGGCGGCAUCCUGGACCAAUACUGACACUGAGGAGCGAAAGCCAGGGGAGCAAACGGG